UACCCAGCAACUUCUAUUCCUGCUUCCGCGUGGCACCGGUCGGGCUGCGAGCAACAUUAGGGAAGAUCGGGUAAGCAACCCUGGUGGGAACUUUGAUCGUAGGCUGACAGGGAAGG
rnacentral:ribozyme from 1 species